rnacentral:SRP_RNA from 1 species
CUGUGCUAGACGGGGAGGUAGCGGUGCCCUGUACCUGCAAUCCGCUAUAGCAGGGUUGAAUUCCUUGCGGAGGCUUGUUUGUUGUAGUGCUGGCUUAAGUAAGUGGUAAUGAAGAUUGGGUCCUACGCAACGGAAACUCAUGAACUCCGCCAGGUCCGGAAGGAAGCAACGGUAAGUGAUCAUUUUCGUGUGCCGUAGGGAAGCCUGAUCAGAGCUAACUGCUUGAGUAACGGCUAUGACCACAAGUCGAAGUGAGGUGCACAG